rnacentral:sRNA from 1 species
AAAAAGCCCGCAUUGCGUCGGCAAUCAGCGGGCUUUGUGUGCGGAGUAGCUUGAGCGCGAGCGGCGCGCUUGCGCGGCCACCGUUCGCUUUAGCUGUUUCGGGCGGCCUUUGUCAGGCUGCCCUGCGUCCGCAAGCUGAAUUCAAAUCGACGCAAGAGGCGAUUCUAACACCGUCGCUAUCGCGCGGCGU